rnacentral:lncRNA from 1 species
UGGCCGAUUCGAAUUGCAUGCACACUCAUGAUCAUGGUCAUAUGAGUUGCUGAGUAGGCCUACUGCUGUUUUAGUUGUGUUGUUGUGCUGAUUGCUAGCUUAGUUUUGGUUACUGAGAGUUGAAGAGAGAGUUGCAGAAAAUUUGAUAGAUCUACUCUUACUGUUGGACAGUUACUGAGAGAGAAGCAAGGAGGCAGAGGUAAAUUCAGCUCUUACUGUUGGACAGUUAGUGAGAGGGAAGCAGGGAGGAAGAGGUGAAUAGAGCUCUUAUUGUUGAACAUUUACUGAGAGAGAAGCAAGGAGGCAGAGGUGAAUAGAGCUCUUACUCUUGGACAGUUAUUUAGAGAGAAGCAAGGAGGCAGAGGUAAAUAGAGUUGUUACUGUUGGACAGUUAUUUAGAGACGAGCAAGGAGGAAGAGGUGAAUAGAGCUCUUACUGUUGGACAGUUACUGACACAGAAGCAAGGAGGCAGAGGUGAAUAGAACUCUUACUGUUGGACAGUUAAUGAGAGAGAAGCAAGGAGGCAGAGGUAAAUAGAACUCUUAUUGUUGGACAGUUACUGACACAGAAGCAAGGAGGCAGAGGUGAAUAGAACUCUUACUGUUGGACAGUUAAUGAGAGAGAAGCAAGGAGGCAGAGGUAAAUAGAGUUGUUACUGUUGGACAGUUAUUGAGAGACAAGCAAGGAGGAAGAGGUGAAUAGAGCUGUUACUGUUGGACAGUUACUGAGACAGAAGCAAGGAGGCAGAGGUGAAUAGAGCUCUUACUGUUGGACAGUUACUGACACAGAAGCAAGGAGGCAGAGGUGAAUAGAACUCUUACUGUUGGACAGUUAAUGAGAGAGAAGCAAGAAGGCAGAGGUAAAUAGAACUCUUAUUGUUGGACAGUUACUGACACAGAAGCAAGGAGGCAGAGGUGAAUAGAACUCUUACUGUUGGACAGUUAAUGAGAGAGAAGCAAGGAGGCAGAGGUAAAUAGAGUUGUUACUGUUGGACAGUUAUUGAGAGACAAGCAAGGAGGAAGAGGUGAAUAGAGCUGUUACUGUUGGACAGUUACUGAGACAGAAGCAAGGAGGCAGAGGUGAAUAGAGCUCUUACUGUUGGACAGUUAUUUAGAGAGAAGCAAGGAGGCAGAGGUAAAUAGAGUUGUUACUGUUGGACAGUUAUUUAGAGACAAGCAAGGAGGAAGAGGUGAAUAGAGCUGUUACUGUUGGACAGUUACUGAGACAGAAGCAAGGAGGCAGAGGUGAAUAGAGCUCUUACUGUUGGACAGUUAUUUAGAGAGAAGCAAGGAGGAAGAGGUGAAUAGAGCUGUUACUGUUGGACAGUUAAUGAGAGAGAAGCAAGGAGGCAGAGGUGAAUAGAGCUCUUACUCUUGGACAGUUAUUUAGAGAGAAGCAAGGAGGCAGAGGUAAAUAGAGUUGUUACUGUUGGACAGUUAUUUAGAGACGAGCAAGGAGGAAGAGGUGAAUAGAGCUCUUACUGUUGGACAGUUACUGACACAGAAGCAAGGAGGCAGAGGUGAAUAGAACUCUUACUGUUGGACAGUUAAUGAGAGAGAAGCAAGGAGGCAGAGGUAAAUAGAGUUGUUACUGUUGGACAGUUAUUGAGAGACAAGCAAGGAGGAAGAGGUGAAUAGAGCUGUUACUGUUGGACAGUUACUGAGACAGAAGCAAGGAGGCAGAGGUGAAUAGAGCUCUUACUGUUGGACAGUUACUGACACAGAAGCAAGGAGGCAGAGGUGAAUAGAACUCUUACUGUUGGACAGUUAAUGAGAGAGAAGCAAGAAGGCAGAGGUAAAUAGAACUCUUAUUGUUGGACAGUUACUGACACAGAAGCAAGGAGGCAGAGGUGAAUAGAACUCUUACUGUUGGACAGUUAAUGAGAGAGAAGCAAGGAGGCAGAG